rnacentral:rRNA from 1 species
ACGGGGGGCUACGGGAGGCAGCAGUAGGGAAUUUUCGGCAAUGGGGGAAACCCUGACCGAGCAACGCCGCGUGAGCGAGGACGGCCUUCGGGUUGUAAAGCUCUGUCAUGUGGGAAGAACGGUGAAGGGAGGCAAUGCCCUUCACGUGACGGUACCACAGGAGGAAGCCCCGGCUAACUACGUGCCAGCAGCCGCGGUAAUA